rnacentral:lncRNA from 1 species
ACGGAGUGGCCGUCUGCAUGAAUCACUCCUCACAGAAAGGAGUCACAUGCCUGUCUUGGGAAAUUUGCAGCCUCACGCUCACUCCCAGAGGGACAAAGGAUAAUGACUUCAUGUCGCUGGCUGCUCACUCACUAUGCUCCUCAAGCACAGGUUUUCUUUUGAAGGAAAAGCUGCCUCGUCUUUUUAAAGGACAUCACAAGACUCUUGGUGACACGAUUCAGCUCUGGCAUCCGCCACAAAGACAUUUGUGUGUCCUUCUGGGGCUUGGAGCCAGGCUUCCAGCCAGCACAAACUUUCUGCCCGUCUUCCACAUGAAGGGCAGAGCUCCUGCUUCUGCCAGGAAUGAAGAUGGCCACUGCUGCUGCCCCAAGCCUCCACAGCAGCUAGAAAGCAAACUUCCAAUUAAGAGCUUGAUUAUAGCCACCUGA